rnacentral:rRNA from 1 species
GACGAACGCUGGCGGCGUGCCUAAUACAUGCAAGUAGAACGCUGAAGGAGGAGCUUGCUUCUCUGGAUGAGUUGCGAACGGGUGAGUAACGCGUAGGUAACCUGCCUGGUAGCGGGGGAUAACUAUUGGAAACGAUAGCUAAUACCGCAUAAGAGUAGAUGUUGCAUGACAUUUGCUUAAAAGGUGCAAUUGCUUCACUACCAGAUGGACCUGCGUUGUAUUAGCUAGUUGGUGGGGUAACGGCUCACCAAGGCGACGAUACAUAGCCGACCUGAGAGGGUGAUCGGCCACACUGGGACGGAGACACGGCCCAGACUCCUACGGGAGGCAGCAGUAGGGAAUCUUCGGCAAUGGACGGAAGUCUGACCGAGCAACGCCGCGUGAGUGAAGAAGGUUGUCGGAUCGUAAAGCUCUGUUGUAAGAGAAGAACGAGUGUGAGAGUGGAAAGUUCACACUGUGACGGUAUCUUACCAGAAAGGGACGGCUAACUACGUG